rnacentral:rRNA from 1 species
GAGUUUGAUCGUGGCUCAGGAUGAACGCUGGCGGCGUGCUUAGCACAUGCAAGUCGAACGAUUAAGACGGCUUCGGCCGUGUAUAGAGUGGCGAACGGGUGAGUAACACGUGACCAACCUGCCCCGCGCUCCGGGACAACCGCUGGAAACGGCGGCUAAUACCGGAUGCUCCGGGGAGGCCCCAUGGCCUCCCCGGGAAAGCCCCGACGGCGCGGGAUGGGGUCGCGGCCCAUUAGGUAGACGGCGGGGUAACGGCCCACCGUGCCCGCGAUGGGUAGCCGGACUGAGAGGUCGACCGGCCACAUUGGGACUGAGAUACGGCCCCAGACUCCUACGGGAGGCAGCAGUGGGGAAUUUUGCGCAAUGGGGGGAACCCUGACGCAGCAACGCCGCGUGCGGGACGAAGGCCUUCGGGUUGUAAACCGCUUUCAGCAGGGAAGAUUCAGACGGUACCUGCAGAAG